rnacentral:lncRNA from 1 species
CGAAAAUAUUACAGUUUAGCUCAGAGUGGCACAAGCAGGUAAAUAAAUCAAGAAAUACCGUACAAACUAUAUAAUUUUCGAAAUGUACUUGUCAGUGGAUGUGUGUAUGAAUGAAAGUUUGUUCAAGAUAAACUAAAAAAUCAUAAUCGAAUAAACAUAGAGAGAAAUACAUUAGAUGCCAUUUUCUG